GAGUUUGAUCCUGGCUCAGAACGAACGCUGGCGGCAGGCCUAACACAUGCAAGUCGAGCGCUACCUUCGGGUGGAGCGGCGGACGGGUUAGUAACGCGUGGGAAUAUACCCUUCACUAUGGAAUAGCCUCGGGAAACUGAGAGUAAUACCAUAUACGCCCUUCGGGGGAAAGAUUUAUCGGUGAAGGAUUAGCCCGCGUAAGAUUAGAUAGUUGGUGGGGUAAUGGCCUACCAAGUCUACGAUCUUUAGCUGGUUUUAGAGGAUGAUCAGCAACACUGGGACUGAGACACGGCCCAGACUCCUACGGGAGGCAGCAGUGGGGAAUCUUAGACAAUGGGCGCAAGCCUGAUCUAGCCAUGCCGCGUGAGUGAUGAAGGUCUUAGGAUCGUAAAGCUCUUUCGCUAGGGAUGAUAAUGACACUACCUAUAAAAGAAGCCCGGCUAACCUCCAUUGCAACAAR
rnacentral:rRNA from 1 species